GUGAAUUUUGUCUGCAGCUCAACUGGCUUAGUGUUGACUUCAAUAACUGGAAAGACUGGGAGGAUGAUUCAGAUGAAGAUUUGUCCAACUAUGAUCGCUUUUCAGAUAUGAUGGGCAACAUGGGAGGAGAGGAUGAUUUACCUGACCUAGACGGAGCAGAUGAUGAAUCAGCUGAUAGUGAUGAUGAAAAAAUGCCAGAUCUGGAAUAAGCGACUGGCAUGUUGUGGACAGACAGAGGAGGAGAGGGGGGUGACAAUGAAAAGAGGAAGCCGUCACCUAAAUGCUACAUGAUCUGAAAGAGAGCAAAGCCGAAUUCAGUGAGACCGUUGAGUUCUUGAGCAUCACCUCUGUUUACUCAGUGGCUGCACUCCAGAAGAUCAUCGUAAACCUCUGUUGAGAGUUCAUAUGCAUAUUGUUGUACAGAGCUUCGUUGUCCCUCUCCUUAUGAGCAGUCCUGGCUUUUUUUUUGUUUUGUUUUAAUCUGUACUAAAAACAUGUAUACUUAAACUGUUUGGAAAAACUGCA